UACAGAGGGGGCUAGCGUUGUUCGGAAUUACUGGGCGUAAAGGGCGCGUAGGUGGCCUGUUAAGUCGAACGUGAAAUCCCCGGGCUCAACCCGGGAACUGCGUCCGAGACUGGCAGGCUCGAAUCCGGGAGAGGGAUGUGGAAUUCCAGGUGUAGCGGUGAAAUGCGUAGAUAUCGGGAGGAACAUCAGUGGCGAAGGCGGCCCUCUGGUCCAGUACUGACACUCAAGUGCGAAAGCGUGGGGAGCAAACAGG
rnacentral:rRNA from 1 species